rnacentral:rRNA from 1 species
UAGGGAAUCUUCCACAAUGGGCGAAAGCCUGAUGGAGCAACGCCGCGUGUGUGAUGAAGGGUUUCGGCUCGUAAAACACUGUUGUAAGAGAAGAAUGACAUUGAGAGUAACUGUUCAAUGUGUGACGGUAUCUUGCCAGAAAGGAACGGCUAAAUACGUGCUAG